rnacentral:rRNA from 1 species
GCAGCACGCCUGAUCCAGCCAUGCGCGCGUGUGUGAAGAAGGCCUUAUGGUUGUAAAGCACUUUAAGCGAGGAGGAGGCUACUUUAGAUAAUACCUAGAGAUAGUGGACGUUACUCGCAGAAUAAGCACCGGCUAACUCUGUGCCAGCAGCCGCGGUAAUACAGAGGGUGCAAGCGUUAAUCGGAUUUACUGGGCGUAAAGCGCGCGUAGGCGGCUAAUUAAGUCAAAUGUGAAAUCCCCGAGCUUAACUUGGGAAUUGCAUUCGAUACUGGUUAGCUAGAGUGUGGGAGAGGAUGGUAGAAUUCCAGGUGUAGCGGUGAAAUGCGUAGAGAUCUGGAGGAAUACCGAUGGCGAAGGCAGCCAUCUGGCCUAACACUGACGCUGAGGUGCGAAAGCAUGGGGAGCAAACAGGAUUAGAUACCCUGGUAGUCCAUGCCGUAAACGAUGUCUACUAGCCGUUGGGGCCUUUGAGGCUUUAGUGGCGCAGCUAACGCGAUAAGUAGACCGCCUGGGGAGUACGGUCGCA